rnacentral:rRNA from 1 species
CCUACGGGAGGCAGCAGUGGGGAAUAUUGGGCAAUGGGCGAAAGCCUGACCCAGCAACGCAGCGUGAAGGAAGAAGGCUUUCGGGUUGUAAACUUCUUUUUACAGGGAAGAGCAGAAGACGGUACCUGUCGAAUAAGCCACGGCUAACUACGGGCCAGCAGCCGCGGUAAUACGGAGGUGGCAAGCGUGUUCCGGCUUUACUGGGUGUAAAGGGCGUGUAGCCGGGCUGACAAGUCAGGUGUGAAAGCGGGGGGCGCAACCGCCGAACUGCAUUUGAAACUGGUGGUCUUGAGUAUCGGAGAGGUAGGCGGAAUUCCUAGUGUAGCGGUGAAAUGCGUAGAUAUUAGGAGGAACCCCAGUGGCGAAGGCGGCCUGCUAGACGACAACUGACGGUGAGGCGCGAAAGCGUGGGGAGCAAACAGGAUUAGAUACCCCGGUAGUC